UACGUAGGGACCAAGCGUUGUUCGGAUUUACUGGGCGUAAAGGGCGCGUAGGCGGCUUAACAAGUCACUUGUGAAAUCUCCGGGCUUAACUCGGAACGGCCAAGUGAAACUGUCAAGCUAGAGUGCAGAAGGGGCAAUCGGAAUUCUUGGUGCAGCGGUGAAAUGCGUAGAUAUCAAGAGGAACACCUGAGGUGAAGACGGGUUGCUGGGCUGACACUGACGCUGAGGCGCGAAAGCGUGGGGAGCAAACGGG
rnacentral:rRNA from 1 species